rnacentral:lncRNA from 1 species
CGAGACUAGGAAAAGACGACAUGUGAGGUAAUUAGAAGACGACAACUUUAUGAUAACACACCGUGAAAUACUCACAGAAGGAGUAUAAAGAGGGUCUGAGGUAUCAUCCAUGAUUCAGAUAUCAUGUAAAUCUCAUAGAAACCAUGAAGAAGUAAGAUGUUCUUAUUUUUUAAGCCACAUUUUUCUUUAUCAUACAACCACUAAUAAAAAAAUAGAUAUAGCCACAUUUUUUUGUGUGGCUAUGACCAAAACUUCGUGGUUAUAUGUAAGAUUUACACGAAAAUAAACCAUAGCUGUAUACUCGUAGCAAAAAAAAUGACCGUGGCAAAAACCAUAGCAAAAAGCUACGAUUUUGCCACAAAAUAACCACGUUUUAUUCGUGAAAUAUUCGUGGAUAAUUUUAGCUACGAAAUAAACCGUAGCUAAUAAUGGAUCUUUCAAAAAAAUUAAAAUUUAAUAUUAUGUAAAUAAAAUUUCUAAAUUAAAAUCAAUUAUAAAAGCAUAUAAUUUUUUUUAUUAUUAUUUAUUGCAGUGGUGGUGGCUAUAUACCGAUA